GCUUGUGCCAGUUUUUCCACAGGCUUCCUCCCUAACAGGAGCUCCAGGAGCACAACCCCAUAACCAUACACAUCACUUUUUCCUUGUCACAUGGGCCAUGCCUCAGCUCACAGACAGAUCUAAACUUCCAAACAUUGUGGAUCCAAAUUCCAAUGAUAAAGGAUACAAUGGAUCUCAAGCACUUAUACCAGGUUGCUGCAGUAGCUGUG